UUUGUGGAUAAUUAGGAAUCAGGCAACCAAGAUUCCACUUCAUUAACAUUAGGAGUUAUAAUUUGGUGUUGUAUUUAAUUUGACUAAAAUUUAAUAAAGUUUAAACUUUUGUCAUAGGUUAAAUGUAAAGAGUUUUUUUUUUUUUUUUUUGCUGAUAAUAGUGUAUUUAUUUUUCGAUUUUGAGUUUUAUAUUUUAUUCUUUUAGAUAACAAAUCAGAAAUAAUGGAAUUCGAAACUCUUAGUGGUACAUUGAAAGCUAAACGCCUAAAUGAUAACAAGAUACAAAUUGAUUUGCCUGCCUAUAAUUUUACAUCAGUGAAAGGGAAGUUUGAUAAAUUAGUUAAUGUAAUUCAAACAUUUAUUUAAUUUGCUCAUGAAUUGCUCUAUGAAUUGUAUUGUAUUAUUUAUAUUAAUUUUAUUUCAUUUUCAGGCUGUUGUCGGCUCAUUACCAGUUGAAGAUGUUGUUUUAUCGGAAUCUUAAAAACUAUUGAUUAGAAUGUGCAAGAGUUUGAAUCAGUCAAAAAAAAUGAAAAUGAAUUAUUAUCUACAUCUUCAGAGGUAGUUGGCGUGAUAGUGACUGGCAAGAGACAAAUUCGAUUGCAAAGAUGAUGCUGGAAAUCAGUGUGACUGUAUAUCCCGUUAGUUUGCACUACUGGUUGGGAGUAGCUGAGGACCCAGUUACUUGUAUUUAUCUUAUCUUAAUUAUUUGAUGUUAAAUUUAUAAUUAUGCAAAAUGAAAUAAAAAGUUGAGAUUUUGAAA